GACGAACGCUGGCGGCGUGCUUAACACAUGCAAGUCGAACGAAGUGGCGGACGGGUGAGUAACGCGUAAUCCACCUGCCCUUCAGCGGGGGACAACAGUUGGAAACGACUGCUAAUACCGCAUACUGAAGGUGGGGAUUCCGUCUGAUUGGCUAGUUGGCGGGGUAAAGGCCCACCAAGGCGAUGCUCAGUGGCCGGGCUGAGAGGGUGAACGGCCACAUUGGGAAGGGGACACGGGCCAGAAUCCUACGGGAGGGAGCAGUGGGGAAUCUUCCGCAAUGGACGAAAGUCUGACGGAGCAACGCCGCGUGAGUGAUGACGGCCUUCGGGUUGUAAAGCUCUGUUAAUCGGGACGCGGUACCGGAAUAGAAAGCCACGGCUAACUACGUGCCAGCAGCCGCGGUAAUAC
rnacentral:rRNA from 1 species